UGUAGUCAUAUAUAGUUUUGUGGUAGUGUAGUGGUAUGUAAAAUAGUGUACAGUGUACAGGAGUAAAUUUGGGACUUGCAAACAGAUCAACUUACAAACACAGACCUCUGGUACCCGACUCGUGCGGCUGUUUACAUCUCCACUGACCGCUGAUUUCCCGCCUGUCCGCCCCGCAUCUCGACAUUGUUGUUCUUUCAGGAAAGGGCUUCUGCAUCAACUAUUGGAGCGUGAGGCCCGUCACGAGCACCAAGGGUGAGUCUCGACGAGCAGAGACACCUUCAUGUCGCGGUCUCAGUGGGGGUAAUUUUUUAGUUUUACUUGGUUACGGUAACCUGGUUACGGUAACUUGGUUAUGGUAACUUGGUUACGGUAACUUGGUUACUUUGUUACGGUAAACUUGGUUAUGGUAACCUGGUUACGGUAAACUUGGUCAUGGUAACCUGGUUACAUUAACCUGAUUACUUUGUUACGGUAAACCUGGUUAUGUUAAACCUGGUUACAGUAAACCUGGUUAUGUUAAACUUGGUUACGGUAAACCUGGUUAUGUUAAACUUGGUUAGAGUAAACCUGGUUAUGUUAAACCUGGUUACGGUAAACCUGGUUAUGGUAAACUUGGUUACGGUAAACCUGGUUAUGUUAAACUUGGUUAUGGUAAACCUGGUUAUGUUAAACUUGGUUAGAGUAAACCUGGUUAUGGUAAACUUGGUUACUGUAAACCUGGUUAUGUUAAACUUGGUUACGGUAAACCUGGUUAUGUUAAACUUGGUUACGGUAAACCUGGUUAUGUUAAACUUGGUUAUGGUAAACCUGGUUAUGUUAAACUUGGUUAGAGUAAACCUGGUUAUGGUAAACUUGGUUAUGUCAAACCUGGUUACAGUAAACCUGGUUAUGUUAAACCUGGUUAUGUUAAACCUGGUUAUGGUAAACCUGGUUACAGUAAACCUGGUUAUGUUAAACCUGGUUAUGGUAAACCUGGUUAUGUUAAUCUUGGUUACAGUAAACCUGGUUAUGUUAAACAUGGUUACAGUAAACCUGGUUACAGUAAACCUGGUUAUGUUAAACUUGGUUACAGUAAACCUGGUUAUGUUAAACUUGGUUACGGUAAACCUGGUUAUGGUAAACCUGGUUACGGUAAACCUGGUUAUGGUAAACUUGGUUAUGGUAAACCUGGUUACAGUAAACCUGGUUAUGGUAAACUUGGUUAUGGUAAACCUGGUUAUGUUAAACUUGGUUACAGUAAACCUGGUUAUGGUAAACUUGGUUAUGGUAAACCUGGUUAUGUUAAACCUGGUUAUGUUAAACUUGGUUAGAGUAAACCUGGUUAUGGUAAACUUGGUUAUGGUAAACUUGGUUAUGGUAAACCUGGUUAUGUUAAACCUGGUUACAGUAAACCUCGUUAUGGUAAACCUAGUUAUGUUAAACCUGGCUACAGUAAACCUGCCAUCUGCCGUCUGCUGUCUGCAGCCUGCGGUGUGAAGGAGUUCCAGUCACCGGCUCCCUGGGCGGCUGCGGUGAUGCAGUACAACGCGACGCUGUGCCACGCGACGCUUGUCAAGCCCUCCUGGUUCCUCGCGACCGCCGGCUGCGUCAACCUGCUCGUAAACAGGAGCGACCCGCAGCCCCCGAGUGUCCGGCUGAGCGGUGGCGUGGACCUGCGGGUGCUGAGCUACACCGUUCACGACCGGUACAACGCAGCACUGCUGAAGGUCGCCACUCCCGUGACCAACAGGAGCCCGGCCUGCCUGCCAGACUACCAGCGGCCUACGCACUACUCCGGGAAGACCUGCUUCAUCGAAGCACUCGACCAGAGGCAGAUGCAGGUGCAGAUGGCCACGGAGGGCAGCUGCGGAGUUUCCAGCAUCUCAAGCCAAAAGAUCUGCACCCAGCCUCCUAGGAGCUGCGUGGUGCGAUUGCCGGUGAGUCUAGAAUAGUGUACACUACACUAUACACUACACUAUACACUACACUAUACACUACACUAUACACUG